rnacentral:rRNA from 1 species
AGCACCGGCUAACUCCGUGCCAGCAGCCGCGGUAAUACGGAGGGUGCAAGCGUUACUCGGAAUCACUGGGCGUAAAGGACGCGUAGGCGGAUUAUCAAGUCUCUUGUGAAAUCUAACGGCUUAACCGUUAAACUGCUUGGGAAACUGAUAAUCUAGAGUAAGGGAGAGGCAGAUGGAAUUCUUGGUGUAGGGGUAAAAUCCGUAGAUAUCAAGAAGAAUACCUAUUGCGAAGGCGAUCUGCUGGAACUUAACUGACGCUAAUGCGUGAAAGCGUGGGGAGCAAACAGGAUUAGAUACCCUGGUAGUCCACGCCCUAAACGAUGUAUACCGGUUGUUGCUGUGCUAGUCACGGCAGUAAUCCACCUAACGGAUUAAGUAUACCGCCUGGGGAGUACGGUCGCAAGAUUAAAACUCAAAGGAAUAGACGGGGACCCGCACAAGCGGUGGAGCAUGUGGUUUAAUUCGAAGAUACGCGAAGAACCUUACCCGGACUUGAUAUCUAACAAAUCAUCCAGAGAUGGAAGAGUGUCUGCUUGCAGAAAUGUUAAGACAGGUGCUGCACGGCUGUCGUCAGCUCGUGUCGUGAGAUGUUGGGUUAAGUCCCGCAACGAGCGCAACCCACGUCAUUAGUUGCUAACGGUUCGGCCGAGCACUCUAAUGAGACUGCCUUCGUAAGGAGGAGGAAGGUGUGGACGACGUCAAGUCAUCAUGGCCCUUAUGUCCGGGGCGACACACGUGCUACAAUGGCAUAUACAAUAAGACGCAAUAUCGCGAGAUGGAGCAAAUCUAAAAAAUAUGUCCCAGUUCGGAUUGGAGUCUGCAACUCGACUCCAUGAAGCCGGAAUCGCUAGUAAUCGUAGAUCAGCCAUGCUACGGUGAAUACGUUCCCGGGUCUUGUACUCACCGCCCGUCACACCAUGGGAGUUGAUUUCACUCGAAGCCCAAAUACCAAACUGGUUAUGGUCCACAGUGGAAUCAGCGACUGGGGUGAAGUCGUAACAAGGUAACCGUAGGAGAACCUGCGGUUG